CGUAACAAGGUUUCCGUAGGUGAACCUGCGGAAGGAUCAUUAUCGAG
rnacentral:rRNA from 1 species